ensembl:piRNA 21ur-3272 ncRNA
UGUUGAAGCUCGGCAUCAAGU